UAUAACUAAGCGGAGGAAAAGAAACUAACAAGGAUUCCCUCAGUAACGGCGAGUGAAGCGGGAAGAGCUCACGUUGUGAAUCUGGCCCUCGGGCCCGAAUUGUACACUGGAGAGGCGUGGCCAGCCGCUGUCCGCGGCCAAGUCUGAUUGGAAAUGAGCAUCAAGGAGGGUGACAAUCCCGUCCAUGCCGCGGUACCGAUCAGCGCGCGUCCGGCCCGCUUUCGACGAGUCGAGUUGCUUGGGAUUGCAGCUCAAAGAGGGUGGUAAACUCCAUCCAAAGCUAAACACGGGGGGGAGACCGAUAGCGAACAAGUACCGUGAGGGAAAGAUGCAAAGAACUUUGAAAAGAGAGUUAAAGAGUGCCUGAAAUUGCUGGAAGGGAAGCGAAGGAAAGAGGUGUGCGGUUGCCCGGGCGCCAACCCCUACCUGUUCGCAGGGUGGGGGUAGGCCGCCCGGCCGCGGUCAGGGGUAGCGCCGGGCUCGGGGGAAGAGCCGUCGGGGAUCGGUAGGCGAGCCGCUUCGGUGGUGCGCUGUCAGGCCCCGGUGGUUGUUGCCCUGAGCCCGGCCCCCGUCUGGCGGUCGCGGCUUUUCUUCACCCCGUCUUGAAACACGGACCAAGGAGUCUAGCGUGGACGCGAGUAGAGGGGUGUCCAAACCCCCUUGCGCAAUGAAGGUGAACGCCGGUGGGAGGCUGUUAUGGCCAGCACCAUCGACCGAGCGUGCUCCCCCGGGGGCAAGGCUUGAGUGUGAGCGUGCAUGCUGGGACCCGAAAGAUGGUGAACUAUGCCUGAAUAGGGCGAAGCCAGGGGAAACUCUGGUGGAGGCUCGUAGCGAUUCUGACGUGCAAAUCGAUCGUGAGAUUUGGGUAUAGGGGCGAAAGACUAAUCGAACCAUCUAGUAGCUGGUUCCCUCCGAAAUUUCCCUCAGGAUAGCAGCGGCCGAGUUUUGACAGUUUUAUCAGGUAAAGCGAAUGAUUAGAGGCUGCGGGGGAGUAACUCCCUCGCCCUAUUCUCAAACUUUAAAUGGGUAAGGAGCUGGGGUCGCUUGAUUGGACCCUCGGCGUUAUUGGAAUGGCUGGUCGUUAGUGGGCCAGUCCGGGUAAGCUGGACUGGCGAUGCGGGAUGAACCGAACGCCUAGAUGAAGCGCCUCACUGCCCGCUCACCUAGAUCCCACAAAAGGUGUUGGU
rnacentral:rRNA from 1 species